GAUGAUGUAGUUUAAUGGUGGAACGUGGGAAUCAUAAUCCUGAAGAUGUAGGUUCGAGUCCUACCAUCAUUA
rnacentral:tRNA from 1 species